rnacentral:pre_miRNA from 1 species
GUAACUCAAAUUUGUAUCGAGUUAGAACGUUUGCCUACGUUUGACGCUAGGGGCGCUGUUCCAACUGCAUACAAUUAAUAUG